rnacentral:rRNA from 1 species
UACGAAGGGGGCUAGCGUUGCUCGGAAUCACUGGGCGUAAAGCGCACGUAGGCGGAUCGCUAAGUCAGGGGUGAAAUCCUGGAGCUCAACUCCAGAACUGCCCUUGAUACUGGCGAUCUCGAGUCCGGGAGAGGUGAGUGGAACUGCGAGUGUAGCGGUGAAAUGCGUAGAUAUCUGGAGGAACACCGGUGGCGAAGGCGGCAUCCUGGACCGGCAUUGACGCUGAGGCGCGAAAGCUAGGGGAGCAAACGGGG